GAUGAACGCUGGCGGCGUGCCUAAUACAUGCAAGUAGAACGCUGAAGGAGGAGCUUGCUUCUCUGGAUGAGUUGCGAACGGGUGAGUAACGCGUAGGUAACCUGCCUGGUAGCGGGGGAUAACUAUUGGAAACGAUAGCUAAUACCGCAUAAGAGUAGAUGUUGCAUGACAUUUGCUUAAAAGGUGCAAUUGCAUCACUACCAGAUGGACCUGCGUUGUAUUAGCUAGUUGGUGAGGUAACGGCUCACCAAGGCAACGAUACAUAGCCGACCUGAGAGGGUGAUCGGCCACACUGGGACUGAGACACGGCCCAGACUCCUACGGGAGGCAGCAGUAGGGAAUCUUCGGCAAUAGACGGAAGUCUGACCGAGCAACGCCGCGUGAGUGAAGAAGGUUUUCGGAUCGUAAAGCUCUGUUGUAAGAGAAGAACGAGUGUGAGAGUGGAAAGUUCACACUGUGACGGUAUCUUACCAGAAAGGGACGGCUAACUACGUG
rnacentral:rRNA from 1 species